AAAAUAGCAUGCGAUAAUAUUUCACUAGGUAAAAUAACUAGUCAAGGAAUUUAUUUAAAUAGAUUCAAAUGGCUCCACUAUAUUUAAUUAUUUUAGAAAAGGUUUCCGUGAUACACUGUUAGAUAAAAACAUUUGCUAAGUUAUAGGUAUAGUGUGAUGAAAUUCUUGAUAAAAAUGAUAACAAAACCAUAACCUAUAUAGCUGCAUGUAUAUUUAUAUAUUAAUACAUUUGCAAAGGCAAAGGAAAAACAGGGAAAAACAGCAAAUUAUUACCAGUGAGUCCAUUAGGAGAUUAGGAAUCAAGGAGAGACUGCAAACUUUAAUAGAGCUACACAAAACUUUUUUGAGUAAUUAAAGAUAGAAUUUUCUACCUUUGCAAUUCAGAUGAUGGAGAUACAUGAGCUGACUGAAACAAAUACAAAUGUUCCUGAGCAGCACUGUCCAAUAGAAAUGUAUUGCAAGGCACAAAUGCAAGCCACAUACGUAUUUUUCAGUUUUCUAGUAGCCACAUUGUAAAAGGAAAAAGAAACAUCAAACUCAUUUACUUAGUAUAUUUUAAAUCAAUACUUCAUAAAUACUAUCAGUUCAAUAUGUAGCCAACAUAAAAUAUUUAUGAGCUAGUUUACAUUAUUUUCAUACUGUCCUAGAAAUCUGGUGUGUGUUUCACACUUACAGCACAUCUUAAUUCAGACUUGUCACACUUACAAGUGAUUAAUAGCCGUAUGAGUAUAGGAGCUACGUUACUGAACAGUGCAGCUCUAGAGGAAAUUAACGGUUUUGCUACUGGUGAAUUUGACUUGCAGAGACGUCUUCACUGUCAGCCUAGUAACGGUGUGACUGUAUCCAGGCUUGGUCCCAUUGUCCCAAUCUUAGUUCAACUGUACAUUGUCCAUCUCUAAUGUUUUUCAGUUGAGAAGCUUUGAUAUAAUUUAAUACAUUUUAUUAUUACCAGUAUGCAUACAGGUUAUCAUAAAAUCUACACUUCCAGUGAAAAUGAACAGUGUAUUUUCUGAAAACAGUAAGAAACCAGCUUUUUAAAAAUUCUCUUAACACAACUUUGUAGAAAAACAAAAGAUAAUAUGGUAUUAAUUCUGAAUUUUAACUUGAAUGUUUGGACAACUAUAUUUUCUACAAGGGCAAAGAAGACAAAAUGUUCCCCAAAUAAAAAGUCAGUGGUCAAGGCAUUUAUAAUGUGAUGCCUCAUCCAAAUAUCUAGAUGAGGAGGUUUUUGUUUAAGCCCCAACUUGACCACCAAACACAUGGGUAAAUUUAGAUAAUUUCCAUAAAUUCCCUGGGCUUUACUUUCCCCAGUUAUCUACAGUGAACUUAUUUAACAUGAUUCUAAAAUUCAAAUUAAAAAAGGCAUGUGAUAACACUGUAUAAAUAAAAUGUCUUUUCAGACAUUGUAAAAUCAGAAUAAUGGUUUUGAAGUUAAGAGGAAUGCCAGUAAUAUUAAAUUUCUAAAUUCUAUGGUUAGUUUUAAGUCAGAAUUUCAGAUAAUACAGAGAAAGAAAAAUAUAUUGUAAGCAUAUUUACAGGGCCACAAUGGAUGGUUCUUACUAGGUUGAGUUUUAAGGACACUGAGCAUGGAAGGCAGCUGUAUACACCAUAGAAGACAGCUAAAAAUACAAUGCAUGAGGACUAAGAAUGGACAGAUUUCAAAACUUGGUGGCCUCUCUUCAAUAAAGAGCUGUGAGACUGGAUAGUCAUUUACUCAGCUAAAUCCCAGAGUUAUUAAGGAUUAUUGAAUGUUAGAAGAAUAUAUUCUUAUGCUAUUGUUACUUAUGUUUCCUCCACCUUUGCUAGAAAAUUGACUUUGCUUCUUUGAGAACAGCAUGGUGAGUCUACUAUCCUUGACUUUUCAUCAAUUUGUUUCAUCACUAAAGUAUUUCAAGUUGCUGUCUACGUCAAGGCAAGAAAUUCUGUAGGGUUUCAGCUGAAAAAUCAGAAGCCACACAGGCUUGCUGGAACACACAGCUGCAUUUCCAGCUCUGAUUUUAAAUGUGCUCUAUCUGGAUCCAUAUUCUGCACAAUCUGCCUCUUGUGAUGAAGAUGAAAAUGGUUACCUUAAAGUUCUCUUCGGUCAGGCCUUCUUCAGUUUUAGCAUCUCUAAUCAUUGCAGCAACGUAUCGCUUCACCAGGUUCCUCAU
rnacentral:lncRNA from 1 species